AUGAAGAAACUGUUCGCACAGCAGUUAAAAGUCCCUGUCUGCAAGUCCUACGGCUCUCUGUGCAGCAGAAAAGAAACCGGGUCAGGGGCGCCUGGGUGGCUCAGU